AUAAUUAUUUUUAAAGUAAUUGAUUAAACCUGGUAGGUUUUCCCAAAAUGAAAAACAAUCAGUUCUAAAACCAAAGCUGAUUUUUAGAAAAUGUGAAAAUGUAAAUCAACCCUAUCCAUAAUAGAUUCUCUAAAACUUUAUCUUACAGUCACUUUCAAAUAACUAUUCAAAAAUGUAACUGCUAUAUUAACGUCUUAAAAUAAUUUAAAACAAAGAAUCUAGGGGAAGGAAAAGUAGACAAAGAAAUGCCAAUUCCAGUCCAAAGCUGUAUUUGCCAAGUUUUCUUAGAAUGACUUUUACCGAUUUAUGAAUUCUUAUAAACAGAAUGCAUAAUGGAAAUACUGAUUUUUGUCUAAAGUGGCAUUAUUGACUGCUGCUGUGAUGCUACUGUAAUGUAAUACAUUAUUAAAUUGUUUCAAGGUGCUGUUUUGCCUAAAAAUUUUGUGUGUCUUGAAAACUAUAGUAUUGGGUAUUGAGACUCUGCAAAUUCUCGGCAUGCUUGGCAUGAGGUAAUCGGU
rnacentral:lncRNA from 1 species